rnacentral:misc_RNA from 1 species
AACAUCGCGCACCUGCGGGAACCUGCGGAGGGAUCAUUAAUGAUUGGUGGCUGUUGCUGACUAGUGUUUCUAGUAUGUGCACGCCACACCUUCAAUCCCACUCACACCUGUGCACCUUCUGUAAUAGAUCUAUGUGGAUACGGAGAUGUGAAAGUUUGCGCUCUCCUACUCUGUUGAAGCAGUCUACUACGUUUUUUUACACACACACACACAAUAGUCAUUGAAUGUAUUUUUUAUUCU